rnacentral:rRNA from 1 species
CCUACGGGAGGCAGCAGUCGAGAAUCUUCGGCAAUGGGCGCAAGCCUGACCGAGCGACGCCGCGUGGAGGACGAAGGCCUUCGGGUUGUAAACUCCUGUCGAGGGGAAGGAAGGGGCCGAAAGGCCCUUGACCGCUCCCUGGAGGAAGCACGGGCUAAGUUCGUGCCAGCAGCCGCGGUAAGACGAACCGUGCGAACGUUAUUCGGAAUCACUGGGCUUAAAGCGCGUGUAGGCGGGGCGGUGCGUCGGCCGCUGAAAUCCCCCGGCUCAACCGGGGAAGGGGCGCCGAUACGACCGCCCUGGAGCGACGUAGGGGGGACUGGAACUUCCGGUGGAGCGGUGAAAUGCGUUGAGAUCGGAAGGAACGCCCGUGGCGAAAGUGAGUCCCUGGACGUCGGCUGACGCUGAGACGCGAAAGCCAGGGGAGCGAACGGGAUUACAUACCCCGGUAGUCCUGGCCGUAAACGAUGGGCACUGGGUAGGGGGCUCGCCGAUGGGCUCCAUGCCGUA